rnacentral:tRNA from 1 species
UGGACCAUAAGUUAAUUCUAAACUAUCAAACUUCAAAUUUGAAACUACUCAGAUUGGGUUGGUCUAA